rnacentral:rRNA from 1 species
GAUCCUGGCUCAGGAUGAACGCUAGCUACAGGCUUAACACAUGCAAGUCGAGGGGAAACGACAUCGAAAGCUUGUCUUUUGAUGGGCGUCGACCGGCGCACGGGUGAGUAACGCGUAUCCAACCUGCCCGACCACUUGGGGAUAACCUUGCGAAAGUAAGACUAAAUACCCAAUGACAUCCCACGAAGACAUCUGAAUGGGAUUAAAGAUUUUAUCGGUAGAUGGAUGGGAUGCGUUCCAUUAGUUUG